CACAAAUCAGGUGCGUUGGGUGCGGAGAGUAAUUGGAUGGGUGACCGUGAUUAGCAGCUUGACUCCUGGGAGUUUCUAGGACUUCAGUCCUGCUCCACAACGAAGCACACAUGUGGUCUCACCUUAGGCAAGUAAGUUUGUUCAAAAUCGCCUUUAUUCACCCAUCAGAAAAAUGGGUAACCGGUGGGAUAAGUCAUGUGACUAUUAACCU